rnacentral:rRNA from 1 species
GCAGUUAGCACGUCUGCUUUACACCCAGGUCUAAGCAGGGUCAGGCCUGGUUAGUACUUGGAUGGGAGACCACCUAGGAAGACCAGAUGCUGUAGGCA